GUCGAGCGCCCGCAAGGGGAGCGGCAGACGGGUGAGUAACGCGUGGGAAUCUACCCAUCUCUACGGAACAACUCCGGGAAACUGGAGCUAAUACCGUAUACGCCCUUCGGGGGAAAGAUUUAUCGGAGAUGGAUGAGCCCGCGUUGGAUUAGCUAGUUGGUGGGGUAAUGGCCUACCAAGGCGACGAUCCAUAGCUGGUCUGAGAGGAUGAUCAGCCACACUGGGACUGAGACACGGCCCAGACUCCUACGGGAGGCAGCAGUGGGGAAUAUUGGACAAUGGGCGCAAGCCUGAUCCAGCCAUGCCGCGUGAGUGAUGAAGGCCCUAGGGUUGUAAAGCUCUUUCAACGGUGAAGAUAAUGACGGUAACCGUAUAAGAAGCCCCGGCUAACUUCGUGCCAUCAGCCGCGGUAAUACGAAGGGGGCUAGCGUUGUUCGGAAUUACUGGGCGUAAAGCGCACGUAGGCGGAUAUUUAAGUCAGGGGUGAAAUCCCGGGGCUCAACCCCGGAACUGCCUUUGAUACUGGGUAUCUCGAGUCCGAGAGAGGUGAGUGGAAUUCCGAGUGUAGAGGUGAAAUUCCUAGAUAUUCGGAGGAACACCAGUGGCGAAGGCGGCUCACUGGCUCGGUACUGACGC
rnacentral:rRNA from 1 species